rnacentral:rRNA from 1 species
ACUAAAUAGAUACCCAGGUAGCCCACGCCCUAAACGAUGUCUACUAGUUGUUGGUGGAGUAAAAUCCAUGAGUAAACGCAGCUAAACGCGUGAAGUAGACCGCCUGGGGAGUACGGUCGCAAGAUUAAAAACUCAAAGGAAUUGACGGGGGCCCGCACAAGCGGUGGAUUAUGUGGGUUAAGUUACGAUGCAGCGCGAAAAACCUUAACCUGGCCUUGACAUGCCACUAACGAAGCAGAGAUGCAUUAGGUGCCCGUAACGGGAAAGUGGACACAGGUGCUGCAUGGCUGUCGUCAGCUCGUGUCGUGAGAUGUUGGGUUAAGUCCCGCAACGAGCGCAACCCUUGCCAUUAAUUGCCAUCAUUUAGUUGGGCACUUUAAUGGGACUGCCGGUGACAAACCGGAGGAAGGUGGGGAUGACGUCAAGUCCUCAUGGCCCGUUACUGGCCAGGGCGUUCACACGUAAUACAAUGGUCGGUACAGAGAGUUGCCAACCCGCGAGGGGUAGCUAAUCUCAGAAAGCCGAUCGUAGUCCGGAUUGUUCUCUGC